rnacentral:rRNA from 1 species
GACGAACGCUGGCGGCGUGCUUAACACAUGCAAGUCGAACGGAAAGGCCCUGCUUUUGUGGGGUGCUCGAGUGGCGAACGGGUGAGUAACACGUGAGUAACCUGCCCUUGACUUUGGGAUAACUUCAGGAAACUGGGGCUAAUACCGGAUAGGAGCUCCUGCUGCAUGGUGGGGGUUGGAAAGUUUCGGCGGUUGGGGAUGGACUCGCGGCUUAUCAGCUUGUGGGUGGGGUAGUGGCUUACCAAGGCUUUGGCGGGUAGCCGGCCUGAGAGGGUGACCGGCCACAUUGGGACUGAGAUACGGCCCAGACUCCUACGGGGGGCAGCAGUGGGGAAUAUUGCACAAUGGGCGGAGGCCUGAUGCAGCAACGCCGCGUGCGGGAUGACGGCCUUCGGGUUGUAAACCGCUUUCGCCUGUGACGAAGCGUGAGUGACGGUAAUGGGUAAAGAAGCACCGGCUAACUACGUG